rnacentral:lncRNA from 1 species
UCAGUCUGGGGUUGGGAAGAAUGUUAAGAUAGAGUAGCAACUGGGGGAAGAGCACGCCAAAUUGUAACUAUAACUAAGUAGAAAUUUAAAAAUCCUAAUCUCAGAUACAGAGACUUAUUUGAAUAUGAUAUGUCUUAAAUGGGGUAUUCUAAACAUCACUCCCCUGCUGGAAUCGCCUGAUCUAGUUCUGCCUAGAUGCAAAAGGUUAGACCAGAUGAAUCCUAAACUCUCAGAGGAAGGAAGGACUCAAUCUCUCUAGGGCCUCUGUUUCCAGAAUCUUCCUUGUCAGGAUAUCUUCAGAAAAUGUAGCCAAAAUCCCUCCUGCUGCUGCUUGUAACACGUUAGGAGUCUGAUGAUGAAUAUAGUUCAUCUUGACUGUCCCCUCCUCCCUGGGAGCUUGUGACAGCACAUCUUACAAAAAAACCAUUAGGUUCUGAAAGUGUUGGGACUGGCCCUGGCAUGUCUUUGCCCUUCUGUGCUGUCCUAUCUCCGGAUGACUUCAGAGAAGGUGAGGGUGGUGUUCAAUGGAUGCUCCCGCCUCCCCCUCCUCUUUCCUCUCAAUCGCCAAUAUAUUUUCUCUGACAGUUUGCACAGAUAGUUAAGAUACCGUGUAAUUACUGUUGCAUUUGAAAGCCAAACAUGAUUUAUAUCUGACAAGCUCAGUCAUCUUUGGGAUGACUUGGGAUGUGUGUGUAUGUGUACUUGUGUGUGUGUGUGUGUGUGUGUGUGUGUGUACAUAUGUUGGUUAUGUCUUUCUGUGGGAGCAGAGUAGGUAUUGGGCCCUCUGCCUCUCUCUCCCACUCAGUUACCUUCUUUUACUGAAUCAAGAAACUGGAAUAUACAGAGCACUGGAAGGAGAGGCAACAUCCCUAUUAUCAGGAGGCAGAUGGGACUGGCUUCUGUCAGUACAGACCUGCAUCCCGGCCCCGCCCCAACUGCUGAUUAUACCCCUUGGGAUGCAUCAUUGCUAGGAAAGCAGAUGUGCCAGAUGUGACAUGUUUGAAAGAAGAAAAAAUCCCUUACCUCUGAGCCUUGGGGAGAGCUGCUAA